AGGAAGUUUAAUACCCGAUGAAUUCGUUUAGUCGCAUGGCUUGAUGAAUAAAGAUUAAUUGGUAAAGGAUGGGGAUGCGUCCCAUUAGCUUGUUGGCGGGGUAACGGCCCACCAAGGCGACGAUGGGUAGGGGUUCUGAGAGGAAGGUCCCCCACAUUGGAACUGAGACACGGUCCAAACUCCUACGGGAGGCAGCAGUGAGGAAUAUUGGUCAAUGGGCGCGAGCCUGAACCAGCCAAGUAGCGUGGAGGACGACGGCCCUACGGGUUGUAAACUCCUUUUAUAAGGGGAUAAAGUUGGCCAUGUAUGGCCAUUUGCAGGUACCUUAUGAAUAAGCAUCGGCUAAUUCCGUGCCAGCAGCCGCGGUAAUACGGAAGAUGCGAGCGUUAUCCGGAUUUAUUGGGUUUAAAGGGAGCGUAGGCGGGCAGUCAAGUCAGCGGUCAAAUGGCGCGGCUCAACCGCGUUCCGCCGUUGAAACUGGCAGCCUUGAGUAUGCACAGGGUACAUGGAAUUCGUGGUGUAGCGGUGAAAUGCUUAGAUAUCACGAGGAACUCCGAUCGCGCAGGCAUU
rnacentral:rRNA from 1 species